UACAGAGGGGGCAAGCGUUGUUCGGAAUUACUGGGCGUAAAGGGCGCGUAGGCGGCCCGCUAAGUCGAACGUGAAAUCCCCAGGCUCAACCUGGGAACUGCGUCCGAUACUGGCAGGCUUGAAUCCGGGAGAGGGAUGUGGAAUUCCAGGUGUAGCGGUGAAAUGCGUAGAUAUCUGGAGGAACACCGGUGGCGAAGGCGGCAUCCUGGACCGGUAUUGACGCUGAGGCGCGAAAGCUAGGGGAGCGAACAGG
rnacentral:rRNA from 1 species